UUACAAUAUAGCAGAAUAUUUUAGACCAGGAGUGUCGAACUCCAGACCUCGAGGGCCGGUGUCCUGCAGGUUUUAGAGCACAGGUGUCGAACUCCAGGCCUCGAGGGAUAGUGUCCUGCAGGUUUUAGAUGUAUCCUUGAUCCAACACAGCUGAUUUAAAUGGCUAAAUGACCUCCUAAACAUGUCUUGAUGUUCUCCAGAGGCCUGGUAAUGAACUAAUAAUUUGAUUAAGGUGUGUUGGCCCAGGGUGAGCUCUAAAACCUGCAGGACACCGGCCCUUGAGACCUGGAGUUCGACACCCCUGUUUUAGAGCUUACUCUGGGUCAACACACCUGAAUCAAAUGAUUAGUUCAUUACCAGGCCUCUGGAGACAUGUUGAGGAGGUAAUUUAGCCAUUUAAAUCAAGGACACGUCUAAAACCUGCAGGACACCGGCCCCCGAGGCCUGGAGUUCGACACCUGUGUUUUAGACCAACGCUUGUGACUGAUUAAAGUUUGUCUGCACAGCAUAAGUUUGUGACCAGAUGGCAGGCUGCUGCUUAACUAUACUGAUGCAUGCGUGACAGAGAGCCGAGCUGGGCCAGGCCCCAGCAAAGAUAAAGUGAGGAUGAAAAUGUCAACAACAUGGCUGCAGCUCUUAGCCUGGAUGAUGAAGUGAUGCACUCGCGAUCGGUGGAGAGCCGCAACGAGGAGAGCGAGGAUUUAAUGGAGGCAGUAAAAGAAAGCAGGUUUAACCUUGGCCCUGCUGGAAGAGAGCCACAGAUCCCCGCAUUCGUCUUCCAGACAUUUAGUGACAUUGAUUUAGCAUUUAGCCUUUGUCUCCACUGUGCCGCUCCAGUCUGA
rnacentral:lncRNA from 1 species